rnacentral:rRNA from 1 species
ACGGGAGGCAGCAGUGGGGGAUAUUGCACAAUGGAGGAAACUCUGAUGCAGCAACGCCGCGUGAGGGAAGAAGGUCUUCGGAUUGUAAACCUCUGUUUUUGGUGAAGAAAUAAAUGACGGUAGCCAAAGAGGACGCCACGGCUAACUACGUGCCAGCAGCCGCGGUAAUACGGAGGUGGCAAGCGUUGUCCGGAUUUACUGGGUGUAAAGGGUGCGCAGGCGGGACUGCAAGUUGGAUGUGAAAUACCGGGGCUUAACUCCGGAGCUGCAUCCAAAACUGUGGGGCUUGAGUGGAGUAGAGGUAAGCGGAAUUCCGAGUGUAGCGGUGAAAUGCGUAGAUAUGCGGAGGAACACCGGUGGCGAAGGCGGCUUACUGGGCUCUAACUGACGCUGAGGCACGAAAGCAUGGGUAGCAAACAGGAUUAGAUACCCUGGUA